GGACGUGAGGGGGGUCCGGCUGCGACAUCUCUCACCCCCAUUGAUCACCAGGGUGGAUUCGGCUGAUCUGGCCGGCUAGGCGGGUGUUCCCUUCCUCCCGCACGCUCCAUGUGCUUCCCUCCCCAAGCUGCGCGCUGGGUCAAAGAGGACGGCCUUCCCUGAAUAGAGACGGACUGGUCUUCGGUGGAGGGUGUAGGAGUAGCUGUGCACCCCUGCUAGAACCUCCAAACAAGCUCUCAAGGUCCAUUUGUAGGAGAACGUAGGGUAGUCAAGCUUCCAAGACUCCAGACACGUCCAAAUGAGGCGCUGCGUGUGGCGGUCUGCCUUAAUAA
rnacentral:snRNA from 1 species